AAGAGUGAGUGUUUUGCUUUUUGUUUCGCAGCGAAGCGACAGUGUUUGGUGAAAGCGUGCGUUGUAACGGUCGCGAGAACGCACCAUUAUUCUUCUUCAUCCGUUCCGGGGUGCGUAACGACUUCGCGUAACCAAGAACCGCGAACCGGUGUGCCGUGGUCGCGUUGAGGGCUUUCGAAAUUUUCCCCUUUUUUCCGUCCGCACGUCCGUCCCCUUUGGCGUGUAGUUCACCCGGGAGCGAACAGCAGCGUUCCAAUUCCCAGACUCACCUGCAACCUUGUCGUCGCCGCCGCUGUCGGCCAGAUGCUUUCACCUGCGUCCCGGGUGUGUCGGUGCUCGUGCGCCUGAGUGGCGUGUGUGCGCGUGUGUGUGUGUGUGUAUUUGGGGAAGAAAUGAAAAGGAACCCCUUUGGAUAAAAAAUAAAGCGCAAAUUAAAUAACUCCACCAAGGCAACAGGGGCAGACAAACAAAAACCCCAAUUCCGGCCAACCAACCAUAAACCUACCCUUCUGUUCGUUGUAUCCCUUUUCGAUCCGACCUCGUACUCCUGGUGUGGUGAGUGUGUGUGCGUGUGUGUUGUAUCCUUGGCGAACACCUUUCCGGUAGCCUACUGUGUUGGUUCUCUUGUUUGCGUUGCCGCCAUCGCGUUGCUGCGAGACCGCGUGACCUCCGGCAUUGAGUGCGCUGCGGGAAUCCUUUGCCAGCGGCAGGACACGUGCCGUUACCAUCGCUUCCGGGGCGUACGCUAUCGAUACAGCUCCAGUACGCCUACUGCCGGCGCUAGGGGGAAACUUUGCGGAUCGCUGAUUCCUGCCAAGAAAGCACGGAAGGAACCGGCUGAUUAAAGUCCUCUGGCACAACCACUCACGGGAGGGACAUUUUUUCCGGCAUCUGUAGCAGCUUUCUUUACAUCCGUCGUCGUCCCACGUGACACACGCGGAACAGGGCGUAGGUGACCGCGGUUCAGACGGGGGUGCAUUAUCCGCAUGCGCAACAGCGUCCCGGGGGCAGCUGUGUGGCAGCCGUACCUUCCAUUUAUUAUUUGUCACUAUGCGACACCGGUUACCGAUGCCGGCACACUUGGAGGUGAUUGAUAGUGCGGUGUGGAAAAUCAUGAACCGCCGAGAAACGACCGGCGCCAAUCCGAAACUAGACCGAACGUAAACGAUAGCAACACCCUUCAUCUUAUACCAAUCAACCAUCAACAGCAACAACAACAACAAAAACGAGAGGAUCAAUAUUUGCGAAAGGCAACAGUUGUGCGUUUUUUUUUGCCAAAGGGGCAGGAAUUUUCAACUCACAAAAGCUUGAUCUCACAGCGAAGCUUUGCAGUGU